rnacentral:rRNA from 1 species
CCCUUAGAUGCUCUGGGCCGCACGCGCGCUACACUGGUCGAUGCAACGAGUUUCUUUCCUUGGCCGACAGGCCUGGGCAAUCUUUGAACAUCGAUCGUGAUCGGGAUAGAUUCUUGUAAUUUUUGAUCUUAAACGAGGAAUUCCUAGUAAACGCAAGUCAUCAGCUUGCAUUGAUUACGUCCCUGCCCUUGUACACACCGCCCGUCGCACCUACCGAUUGAAUGGUCCGGUGAAAUCUCCGGACUGGCGUGAGUCGGAGCAAUCUGACAAACACCGGAAAGUUGAUUAAACCUUACCAUUUAGAGGAAGGUGAAGUCGUAACA